AUUGAACGCUGGCGGCAUGCCUUACACAUGCAAGUCGAUCGGCAGCACGGGGGCAACCCUGGUGGCGAGUGGCGAACGGGUGAGUAAUACAUCGGAAUGUACCCAGUAGUGGGGGGAUAACUAGUCGAAAGAUUAGCUAAUACCGCAUACGCACUAUGGUGGAAAGCGGGGGGAUCGCAAGACCUCGCGCUAUUGGAGCAGCCGAUGUCCGAUUAGGUAGUUGGUGGGGUAAAAGCCUACCAAGCCUGCGAUCGGUAACUGGUCUGAGAGGACGACCAGUCACACUGGGACUGAGACACGGCCCAGACUCCUACGGGAGGCAGCAGUGGGGAAUUUUGGACAAUGGGGGAAACCCUGAUCCAGCAAUGCCGCGUGUGUGACGAAGGCCUCGGUUGUAAGCACUUGCGGACGAAACGGACGCGUUCUAAUACAGAGUGC
rnacentral:rRNA from 1 species